GCCGGAAUUGCUGUAAUGGCAGGUCAGCAUACUGCCGUGAAUACGUUCCCGGGCCUUGUACACACCGCCCGUCGCACCAUGAGAGUUGGGAAUACCCGAAGCCUGUGAGCUAACUUUUAGAGGCAGCAGUCGAAGGUAGAAUCAAUGAUUGGGGUGAAGUCGUAACAAGGUACC
rnacentral:rRNA from 1 species